GUGUCAAGGGAUGGGAAUCGAACCCACGACCUUCCACUUAUCGGGCAGAUGCCAUGACCACUAGGCCACAAGUACA
rnacentral:tRNA from 1 species